UACGGGGGGGGCAAGCGUUGUUCGGAAUUACUGGGCGUAAAGGGCUCGUAGGUGGCCAACUAAGUCAGACGUGAAAUCCCCGGGCUUAACCUGGGAACUGCACUUGUGACUGCACGGCUGGAGUGCGGCAGAGGGGGAUGGAAUUCCGCGUGUAGCAGUGAAAUGCGUAGAUAUGCGGAGGAACACCGAUGGCGAAGGCAAUCCCCUGGGCCUGCACUGACGCUCAUGCACGAAAGCGUGGGGAGCAAACAGG
rnacentral:rRNA from 1 species